rnacentral:rRNA from 1 species
UACAGAGGGGGCAAGCGUUAUUCGGAAUUAUUGGGUGUAAAGGGCGCGUAGGCGGCUUUGCAAGUGACGGGUGAAAUCCCUCGGCUUAACCGAGGAACUGCCUGUCAGACUGCAUGGCUUGAGACCGGGAGAGGUGAGUGGAAUUCCCAGUGUAGCGGUGAAAUGCGUAGAUAUUGGGAGGAACACCAGUGGCGAAGGCGGCUCACUGGACCGGUACUGACGCUGAGGCGCGAAAGCCAGGGGAGCGAACGGG